rnacentral:lncRNA from 1 species
AAUGGUAGACCCUUCACCCAUAUCAUCUUAUAAGCCUUUCUAGGGUUGUCCCUCCUUAAAUAGUCCCAAGCUGACUUAACACUAAAAUUCCCUCUGGUAUCUAGCAUCCAGUUGGGAGUAUCUAGUACAAUAUCCAUAACUGGAGGUUUGAUUUUCUCCACAAUGUGCAUUGCAAAUUUCUCUGGCAGAACCUCCAAUAGUCCAUCAACAUUCCAAGUACCAUUUCC